rnacentral:rRNA from 1 species
CCCUUAGAUGUUCUGGGCCGCACGCGCGCUACACUGAAUGCUACCACACGACGAUACACCCUUGUCCGAUACGGUCAGGGAAAUCGUUUAAAAUGCAUUCUACGUGAUGGGAAUGGAGUAUUGUAAUUUGUACUCCUGAACGAGGAAUUCCUAGUAAACGCGAGUCAUCAGCUCGCAUUGAUUACGUCCCUGCCCUUUGUACACACCGCCCGUCGCACCUACCGAUUGAAUGGUUCGGUGAAGAUCUCGGACUUCGAUAUUUAUUCUUUAUUGAGUUUAUAUUGUGGGAAGUUAUCUAAACCUCAUCAUUUAGAGGAAGGUGAAGUCGUAACA